ACGCGAAAGUUACCUUCGGGUGACGAGUAGAGUGGCGCACGGGUGAGUAACACGUAGGUAAUCUACCUUUGGAUUGGGAAUAACAACCGGAAACGGUUGCUAAUACCGAAUAAUGCAGCGGCACCAAAUGGUGACAGUUGUUAAAGCGGGGGAUCGCAAGACCUCGCGUCUGAAGAGGAGCCUGCGGCAGAUUAGCUAGUUGGUAAGGUAACGGCUUACCAAGGCGAUGAUCUGUAGCCGGCCUGAGAGGGCGGUCGGCCACACUGACACUGACAUACGGGUCAGACUCCUACGGGAGGCAGCAGUCGGGAAUUUUGGGCAAUGGGCGCAAGCCUGACCCAGCAACGCCGCGUGAAGGAUGAAAUCCUUCGGGAUGUAAACUUCGCAAGAACGGGAAGAAUAAGCCGGUGUAAAAAGCACCGGUGAUGACGGUACUGUUUGUAAGCUCCGGCUAACUCCGUGCCAGCAGCCGCGGUAAUACGGGGGGAGCAAGCGUUGUUCGGAUUUACUGGGCGUAAAGGGCGCGUAGGCGGCCACCGCAAGUCGACUGUGAAAUCUCCGGGCUUAACCCGGAAAGGUCAGCCGAUACUGCGGGGCUAGAGUGCAAAAGGGGCAACUGGAAUUCUCGGUGUAGCGGUGAAAUGCGUAGAUUUCGAGAGGAACACCUGCGGCGAAGGCGGGUUGCUGGGCUGACACUGACGCUGAAGUGCGAAAGCUAGGGGAGCGAACGGGAUUA
rnacentral:rRNA from 1 species